rnacentral:rRNA from 1 species
CCUACGGGAGGCAGCAGUGGGGAAUUUUCCGCAAUGGGCGAAAGCCUGACGGAGCAAUACCGCGUGAGGGAAGAAUGCCUACGGGUUGUAAACCUCUUUUAUCAGGGAGGAACAAAAUGACGUGUACCUGAUGAAUAAGCAUCGGCUAACUCUGUGCCAGCAGCCGCGGUAAGACAGAGGAUGCAAGUGUUAUCCGGAAUUACUGGGCGUAAAGCGUCUGUAGGUUGUUGAACAAGUCAACUGUUAAAUCUUGAAGCUCAACUUCAAAAUCGCAGUCGAAACUGUUUGACUAGAGUAUAGUAGAGGUAAAGGGAAUUUCCAGUGGAGCGGUGAAAUGCGUAGAUAUUGGAAAGAACACCGAUGGCGAAAGCACUUUACUGGGCUAUUACUGACACUCAGAGACGACAGCUAGGUAGCAAAUGGGAUUAAGAUACCCCAGUAGUACCUAGCCGUAAACUAUCGGAUACUAGAAUGUUAGAACAGAUCGACCUGUGCAGUAUUAAAGCUAACGCGUUAAGUAUCCCGCCUGGGAAGUAUGCUCGCAAGAGUGAAAACUCAAAAGGAAUUAGACGG